AUUGAACGCUGGCGGCAGGCCUAACACAUGCAAGUCGAACGAGUGGCGGACGGGUGAGGAAUGUCUGGGAACCUGCCUGCUGGAGGGGGAUAACUACUGGAAACGGUGGAUAAUACCGCAUACCAUCAGAUGUGCCCAGAGGGGAUUAGCGAGUUGGUGGGGUAACGGCCCACCAAGUCGCCGAUCCCUAGCUGGCCUGAGGGGAUGACCAGCGACACUGGAACUGAGCCACGGUCCAGACUCCUACGGGAGGCAGCAGUGGGGAAUAUUGCACAAUGGGCGCAAGCCUGAUACAGCCAUGCCGCGUGUAUGAGGGAGGCCUUCGGGUUGUAAAGUACUGUCAGCGGGGAGGCGUUACCCGCAGAAGAAGCACCGGCUAACUCCGUGCCAGCAGCCGCGGUAAUUC
rnacentral:rRNA from 1 species